UGGGGGAUAUUGCACAAUGGGCGCAAGCCUGAUGCAGCCAUGCCGCGUGUAUGAAGAAGGCCUUCGGGUUGUAAAGUACUUUCAGCGGGGAGGAAGGGAGUAAAGUUAAUACCUUUGCUCAUUGACGUUACCCGCAGAAGAAGCACCGGCUAACUCCGUGCCAGCAGCCGCGGUAAUACGGAGGGUGCAAGCGUUAAUCGGAAUUACUGGGCGUAAAGCGCACGCAGGCGGUUUGUUAAGUCAGAUGUGAAAUCCCCGGGCUCAACCUGGGAACUGCAUCUGAUACUGGCAAGCUUGAGUCUCGUAGAGGGGGGUAGAAUUCCAGGUGUAGCGGUGAAAUGCGUAGAGAUCUGGAGGAAUACCGGUGGCGAAGGCGGCCCCCUGGACGAAGACUGACGCUCAGGUGCGAAAGCGUGGGGAGCAAACAGG
rnacentral:rRNA from 1 species